CUGGAUGGUGGUGCAAUAGGAUAAAAGGCGGCUUUCUUCAAACUUCAGAUUCUUCAAGGUUAUAAUCUCAUCACCAUAAUCAUUAAUUACCACUUGGUGCUUAAUUUUGAUUUAUUGUUUGUUCUAGUCUUUCUGCAUUUCUCUUAACUUUGUUUGGUUUCUGGGAUAAUUGUAUUUGUAGAAACAGCUGAGUGCUAAACCUUUGGAGUUGAGAUCAAAAUUCAACCUUAAACUACCCUUUUUGUGCAGGGAAGAAGGUGAGAUAUGGCUUUGGAGAUUGUGUGUUUCGUUAUCCAUGUUGGGGAGAGGCUGUGGUCUUCAGCGACUGGUCCAGUGAGUAAUCUGGUGAACUAUAGGAAAAAUAUAAAGAAUCUCAAUGAUGAAGUUGAGAAGCUAGAGAUUAUCAGAAGCGAUAAUCGACUUUCAGAGAGGGCCGCCCAGAUGAAUGGAGAAGAAAUCAAAGGCGAGGUUCAGAUGUGGCUGAACAAAUCUGACGCUGUCCGCAGAGGGGUUGAGAGAUUGAAUGGUGAAGUCGACAUGAACAGGACAUGCUUCGGUGGGUGCUGUCCUGAUUGGAUAUCGCGUUACAAGUUAAGCAAGCAAGCCAAGAAAGAUGCACAUACUGUUAGGGGGCUCCAAGGGACGGGAAGAUUUGAAAGGGUUUCGCUCCCAGGACGACGGCAACUGGGAAUCGAGUCGACGCUGUCAUUUGGGGAUUUUCAGGCAUUUGAAUCGACCAAAAGGGCGAUGGAUGAGGUCAUGGUGGCCUUGAAAGAAGAUCGGGUGAAUAUUAUUGGGGUCUAUGGAAUGGGGGGUGUGGGCAAAACAACCAUGGUGAAACAGGUGGGUGCAAAUGCUCACAGAGAUGGGCUGUUUCAGCAUGUUGCAAUGGCUGUGAUAUCCCAGAAUCCGGAUUUGAGGAAAAUUCAAGCCCAAAUUGCAGAUAUGUUGAACUUGAAGCUAGAAGAGGAGAGUGAAGCUGGGAGGGCAGCAAGGUUGAGGGAGAGGAUAAUGAGAGGCAAGAGUGUUCUCAUAAUCUUAGAUGACAUAUGGAGAAGAAUUGACUUAUCUGAGAUAGGAAUUCCCAGUACUGGCAGUGACCUUGAUGCCUGCAAAUCCAAAAUCUUACUGACCACAAGGCUUGAAAAUGUGUGUCAUGUCAUGGAAAGCCAAGCAAAAGUCCCUCUGAAUAUUCUGUCUGAACAGGAUUCUUGGACCUUGUUUGGGAGGAAAGCAGGGAGAGUAGUGGAUUCUCCUGAUUUUCAUAAUGUAGCACAGAAGAUUGUCAAAGAAUGUGGAGGCCUCCCAAUUGCUCUGGUGGUUGUUGCUAGAGCAUUAGGCGAUAAGGACUUGGAUGAAUGGAAAGAAGCUGCAAGACAACUAGAAAUGUCCAAGCCAACAAACCUGGAUGAUGAUGGGGGUGUUUUCAAAUGUAUAAAACUGAGCUAUGACUAUUUGAAAGGCAAUAGCACCAAACCAUGUUUUCUGAUUUGUUGUUUGUUUCCAGAGGACACGGACAUCAGCAUCGAAGACUUGGUGAAGUACGGAUUGGGGCAAGGGCUGUUUCAAGAGGCCAACACAAUCGAAGAGGCAAGAGGCAGAGCACGUUCUGUUGUCAAGUACCUCAAGGCUUGCAGUCUGUUGUUGGACAGCACAGAGGAGGGCGGUGUGAAAAUGCAUGACGUUGUCCGCGAUAUGGCUAUACUACUCGUAUCAUCUGAAGACAAUAAUGCCUUUAUGGUGCAAUCUGGUAGCGCCUUAAAGGUGUGGCCGACAAAGGACAGCUAUGAAGCCUACACAGCCAUCUCACUCAUGUCCAACGAAAUCGAGGAGCUCCCUGAUGGGCUAGUAUGCCCCAAGCUUCAGACAUUGUUAUUACAGAAUAACAAUGAUAUACAAGAGAUCCCAGAUGACUUUUUUGGAAGCUUCCACUCCCUGAGAGUCUUAGACCUCAAUGGUGCUGACAUCCCAUCACUACCCCCUUCGCUUGGACUCCUGAGAAGCCUUAGGACGCUAUGCCUAGACUGCUGCCAGUCAAUAACAGACAUAUCCAUACUGGGGAAAUUGGAGAAACUUGAGAUUCUUAGUCUCAGAGAAUCCUACAUUGAGGAUUUGCCAGAAGAACUGGCCCAGCUGGCCAAUCUGAGGAUGCUGGAUUUCACUAUGAGUAACAACAUCAAAUCAAUUCCUCCUAAAGUGAUAUCAAGCUUGUCCAGGUUAGAAGAGAUGUACAUGCAGGGUAGCUUCGCAGACUGGGGUCUGCUGCUUGAAGGAACAUCAUCAGGAGCCAACGCCGGUUUUGAUGAGCUAACGUGCUUGCAUCGCUUAAAUAUCUUGAAGGUAGACAUCUCUGAUGCUGAGUGCAUGCCUAAAACUGUGAGGUUUGAUCCAAACUGGGUAAACUUUGAUAUAUGCAUAAGCAGGAAGCUGUUCACCCGGUUCAUGAAUGUGCAUCUGUCAAGAGUUACAGCUGCUCGAUCAAGAGCCUUGAUUCUCGAUGUCACCAUCAAUACCUUGCCAGACUGGUUCAACAAAGUGGCCACUGAAAGAACCGAGAAACUAUACUACAUAGAAUGCAGGGGUCUAGACAACAUUCUUAUGGAAUAUGAUCAAGGAAGCUUAAAUGGCCUCAAGAUCCUCCUUGUCCAGAGUUGCCAUCAGAUAGUACACCUCAUGGAUGCAGUAACAUAUGUUCCAAACAGACCUUUGUUCCCUAGCUUGGAAGAGCUGCGUGUUCACAAUCUUGACUACUUGAAAGAGAUCUGCAUUGGGCAACUUCCGCCUGGAUCGUUGGGGAACAUGAAGUUCUUGCAGGUGGAGCAGUGCAAUGAGCUGGUGAAUGGGCUGCUGCCGGCUAAUCUGUUGCGGAGACUAGAGAGUCUGGAAGUCCUUGAUGUGAGUGGGAGCUAUUUGGAAGACAUAUUUAGGACUGAAGGACUCAGGGAAGGAGAAGUUGUGGUGGGAAAGCUGAGAGAACUGAAACUGGAUAAUCUACCUGAACUGAAGAAUAUAUGGAAUGGCCCUACCCAGCUUGCAAUAUUCCACAAUCUGAAGAUUUUGACAGUGAUAAAGUGCAAGAAACUGAGGAAUCUAUUCACAUACAGUGUGGCUCAAAGUCUCAGAUAUCUGGAGGAGCUGUGGAUUGAGUAUUGCAAUGGUUUGGAGGGAGUUAUUGGGAUGCAUGAGGGUGGAGAUGUAGUGGAGAGGAUCAUUUUCCAGAACUUGAAGAACUUGUCCUUGCAAAAUCUUCCAGUGCUCAGAAGCUUUUAUGAAGGAGAUGCAAGAAUUGAAUGCCCAUCCUUGGAACAACUGCAUGUGCAGGGCUGCCCAACAUUUAGGAAUUACUCACCUUAUUUCCACAGUACAAACCAAUUCCAAGUAAACAAUGAACAACACUUGCUCCUCCUGCGAAAAAGGUAUGGUUUAGUAAUAAUGUUAGAUUUUUUUUUCCCCUAAAUUUUCUAACUUUUUUUUUCUUCUUAUUUCCUACUUUUUUUUUUUGUCAUAAGGUUGUGGGAGGAGAGAACUUUCCUAGAAGAAAAUUUAUGAAUCGGCGAGCAAAAGGGCAAAGGAGGUUGGAACCAUUAUGUUCAUCAAGCUGAUUUGGGUCCAGUAAAUACAUAUACAUAUAUACAUACAUAUAUAGGUGUGUGUAUAUAUUACAUACAUGCAUACAUACGUAUGUGUAUAUAUAUAUAUGUUUGUGUGUGUGUAUUAGCAAAUUUUCAAUUGGAUAUUUGCCAAUUAAGAAGUUGACGAUUGAAACUUGAGAUGCUUUAAUCCUUGAAGUGUUCUAUUCAUCACCCUUUUGGUUUUGAUUGCCAUCUCUAGUUACGCUUAUAGUGAACCUUCCCUUGAAAUAUGCUAUUAGACUCCAUAAUUUGCCUAAUUUUUCCAAAAGAUUUUAUGCAAAAAAAAAAAAAAAAAAAAAAAACCACGAGCUUUUAAGGUCCACAAGAACUCCAAAAAUUCAAAUAGAAAUAAACCAUAAGUCAAGCUCAAACCCAAAAGUUCUUUCAAGAAAUUAAACACAACUACAGAAGUAUACUAUUUUGCUCCCAUAAAUUCACUUAUAUAUCACAAAUAAAAGAUGCAGAUAUGUACAUGGAUCUAAAUACAAAUUUCAUUUCCAUCUUACAAAAUACACAAUCUCUUGAAAAAUCUCCAAAAUACAACCAUUCAAUAAAUUAAGAUCCCAACAUAGUAAAAAAGGGAACCUUCAUCCUUCCAAUUGGAACAUGUAUAUAUAUAUAUUUGGAUGCUAGCUCCCUUUUCUAUCAUUGGUUUUUUAACAUGAGCAACUUGCUAUCUUUCAGAAGGAUUCUUUCUACCUUGAGAAGUAUAUGGCUUUUACACAUAUGAAACAUAGCACAAUUAGGUAAUACACAUUCAUGACAUGAAUUGUAACAUAAUUUAAACAUCACAUAAUUAGAAGGGUGCAUUGUGGUUCUAAGGUUUUCAACUAAAGAUACUAGUCCAUGUCUAAUACACUCCUUAUUGAUCCAAACUUGAAAUCUCCUCUCUUCUCAAUUUGCCCUCUUUAGGAUCUUUUCAUCUCUCAUUUUUAUUUUAUUUCCGAUUCACACUGUCUUAUCAUUUUUUCAGUUUCACACAAUAUGAAUGCACUUAUAUGUACAAUGAUUUUUUUUGUCCUAAAAUAAUCUCAUAUCGAACACAUAAUAGACAUAUAUUCAUCUCAUGUAGCAAGUGAAUCAACAUAUUAAACAACUAUGAGUCAAUAAUCAACAUCUAGAGAGAAUAUUUUCAACAAUCAACAAUAUUAUAACUAUUAGAAAUACAUACAAAGAGAAGUAGCAACACAAGUCUAAAAUUUUUGAAAUAAAAGUUAAACAACUUCUCGAAUUUGGUUAAAGCAUGAUAAGGCAUGAUCCUUAAAGUAGUUCCAUGCUCCUAUGAGAUUGUGUCUUGGCACAAUAGGAUAACAAUGGACAUUCUACCUCCAGGAUGCAACAACCAAUGUUACUUGUAGAGGUACACUACUUUGUAGAGUAGAGAUGAUAGCUUUGGAUGCUUUACUCUUCCAAGGACUUGAGAAGAGUGGUAGAAGGAAAGAGAAAAACCACUUAAGGAUAGAGUAACAAAAAGAGCUCACAAGGCUUCAAAGGAGAGAAGCUUUGAGAUGGGAUGAAGAAAUACCUAGACUACAACUCUAUUUAUAAGCUCUCAAGAUUGGCUCAAAUAGGUAGAAUAUAUGAUUGGAGGCAUGAUUGAUCCAACUAAUUAGCUAAUUGAUUUCAACCAAUUGCUAAUUAAUUAAGCCAAUCGAGGAGGAAAUUGUUUUUUGUUGAGUCCAUUAAGACAUUUGUUGACCAAUAAAAAUGAAUUAAAUGAUUUCAAUCAAUGGCUAAUUAAGCCUAUUAAACAAUUGUUAAUCAAUCAAAAGUUUUACACAUACACUUUCCAACCAUUCCUCACAUUGUGCAUGAGUGGAGUAAUAAUAGAGGAUGACUGGAGGAAGCAUAUACUAGAAUCUAAUGAAUAAGAACAGAUGCCCUUGGGUUAUGAGCCAACCUUAGAAUAAGUAGGUUGUGAGCCAUAAAAAUAUGGUGAAAGUUAAAUCUGCAAUGAACCAGAAUUUCUUUAUGUGAGACAAGGAACCUAUUAUCCACAUUGGUUUCUCAAGUUAGAGUUGUCCAUAAUGUGUUGAUGUGAAUAGGCCAUAGAUCUUACUUGAAUAUUUAUGAGAGCUCUAUAGACCUUGCCUAAGUUCUCAUAGGAAAUGACCCAUUUCUAUACUCAUAUAGGUGAAUCUAUCAAGCAUAUCCUGCAAUUAUAAACACCACUAAUAAGUGAAAUGGUAUUCACUAAGAUAUGUACUCAUCUUCAAUCAUUGUAGAAUACACUCCACCUACACCUUAGUGAUGGAUUCUCAUAUAUAAGUAGUUGAUAGACUAUUUCAUAGUCAAUAAGUCACUUGCUAUUACUUACACGAACCUGCUUCCUUUGAUCUCUAUUAAUGUAAGUUGGGUUACUUAUGAGGACUCAAAUUCAACACUUCAAUGGGCUUUAUAGAACCUAUUUUAGUGUAUUUGGGAUACUUUUAUUGUUAGUGUCUAAGCAAGUUGCAUUUGAUUAUUUUUGUGUUUGUUUUGUAUGUUUUAGGUGCAAACUAGAUAUUAAAAUCAAUGGAACAAAGUAUUUUGAGCUUUAAUGGAGAUUGUGGGAGAGGUUUCAAGACUUGUGGUUGUUAAAGAAAGCAAGUUUAGAAAGAAGAAAUAGUUAAACAAGACCUUGUUCAAGCUUGCAUAAAUAAAUUGGCAAGGAAAAGGCUUGAACAACCUCGAGCAAGAAGAGUUUGACAAGGCGAAGCUCGAGUAAAGAAGGAAUCCUGCCUAGAAGAGGCUUAAGCAAGUAUGAGCAAAGUGAGCUACACUUAAGCCAACCAUGACCUUGCUUAUGUGGCCUCACAUAAUAGGCCAUAACAAGCAUGAACACCUCUAAGCAAGUUUGCCAGACCAGAUCUGUAGAACAAUUCAAGUAGCCAUGUAGCCUCACACAAAAAGCUUGAGCAAACAUGACCACCUUUAAGCAAGUUUGCUUGAGCAGAUUUAGAACAAUUCAGGUAGCCAUGUAGCCUCACACAAAAGGCCUGAUCGAAAAUGAACACGUUUAAGUAAACAUAUCUUAGCACACUUGGGUAAUUUCAAGUAACACUCAAACAUCCACAACUUUGUUUAGACAACUUUUAGCAAACAUUACCUAGUUUGAACAACCUUUAAGGGUACUUACUUCAAGGCAUAUGGCCACCUCUAGAGUUGACAUGUGGUAGCAAAGCGGUAAGAUACACCAACCCUAGGCUGCCAUGUGAUAACUAAAGUGGCAAAAAAAAAAAAAAAUCAUUAUUUUAGCUUUUCUAAGAAUGUAUCGACUUAUUUGGUUGAGUAUAAAAGGAAAAUUCUCAGAUUUCAAUAGUAGGAUUCCACUAUUACAGUAAGAGUAAAAGUAGGUUAGUGAAGCUAUUUCAUCGUAGGAGUAGUAGGUCAGAAAGGCUACCAAAGCUUAUGAUUUUGACUUUUAUCUUCAUUCUAUAAUUAAUAUUUUGAGUUUAUUUUUGUUUCAGAAUCUAAGCAUAGUUAACAUUUCUAGUUGAAUCUUCUAGUACAACCAUUAUUUCAAUUUGUAGUUUAUUAAUGAAAUGUUAAUUUUUUAUUUCUAGUUUUUAAAUUUGUAGUUUCAAUUUUUUAAUUUUUGAAUUUCUUCUAUCUUGAAAUUUCAAUUUUGUUCCAACUUAAUUUCUUGCUUUGCUUGUUUUAUUUAUUUAUUUUUUGUUUUCUUUUGUUUUGUGUGUAUGUGUGUGUGUGUUUUUUUUUCUAUGUUAUUGUUUUUCAAUUUCAAUAUCAAUAGUUGGAUUUCUUAAGACACUGAGAGAGUGAGGGAAGAUGAGGUAAAUCAUACAGUAUUUUAGUCCUUUAAUGUCCUAAACUGAUUGUGUUGAGGUUAUGGGAAUUCUAGAAAAGGCAUGCGUUUGCUGACUAGUUGUGAGGGCUAAAAGACAAGCAACCUUGGGAGUGGAUUUCAAUUGUGUUGAUAUGGGUUCACUUGAGCUAAACGCUAUCAUUUCAUUUUGGAUUCAUUAUAUGAACCUAAUGCCAAAAACACUGGUUUAGUAAUAUAUUUCCCCUCAACCUUAGGUCAAAAGCAUCUAGUUUAGGAGAAUGAUUUAAGCUAAGGGUGAUUUCCUUUAUGGAUCUUUGCCUUUGGUGUUUGAUUGUUUUCAUAUGUUGAUUUUGGAAAAUUUUAUUAUUUAUUUUUCAAUUUCCCUUUAUCUUUGUUAAGUUUCCUAAGUUGUCUCCACUUGCAAAGCCAUUCACUUUGAAUAACCCAUUUUUUAUAUCUCUCUGAUUGAAAUCAUUGGAUCCUUGUGGGUUGGACCCCAUACUCAUUGGGUCGGGUACUAUUUUGAAGGUUCUUAAGCUCAGUAACACCCACAAAAAUAAAAAUUUUAGUGGGUUUUAAAAGCUCUAAGGUUGUAAUCUUCUUUAAUAAUAGUGGAAGUUUUGUUUUUGUCUUCACCCAUGGAUGUAAACUUUAAGCUGAAAUAUGUAAAUCGUCAUGUGUUUUUUAUUUUUGUAUUCUUAUUUCUCUUUCUUUGUUAUUAUUCUUGGUCAUGGUUUUUCACAACAAACUGGUAUCAAAAUACAUGUUAUUAAACUUGAAAUGACAAUAGAGUUUGAGCUUGAGAAGUUAUUUAAAUUUAUGGUACGUUAAGAUGCGUGCCUUAUUGGUUUAAUUAUGAUUGUCCAAAACAUUGAAGGGUAGAGAGACCCUAUUAACAAUGAUGUAUGAUGAAGAGAAAGAUGAAUUUAUGAAGAAAACAUAUAAUGCUAUCCUGUUGUAGAAGAGGAUAGAAUUGCCAAGUUAUGGUUGAAGUUAAAAAGUCUACAUAUGACGAAAUCUUUUUCAAAUCGCUUGUAUUUGAAGAAGUUAUCCACUCUUUAAAUGAAAGAAGAUACAUCUAUUAAAGACCACAUUGAUAAAUUUAAUAAAACUAUCACGAAUUUGAUGUUAAAAUUAAUGAUGAAGAUCAAACCAUAAUUUUAAUGUAUUUCUUAUUGAAUUCUUAUAAGCACUUUAUGAAUACUAUGAUAUAUGGUAGAGAUACUCUCUUUAUAGAGGAUGUUAGAUUAACCUUGAAUUCAAAGGAGUUGAAGAAGAGGGUUUUUUGAUAGUAGAAAAGAAAACUCGGGUGAAGGUUUGGUGAUUAGAGGGAGAAAAAGAAACGUUAUUAGAAAUAUUUCCAUAAACAUUUUAGAUAGUGAAGGGAAAAGGUUAUGACAUGAAGAUGAGUUUGUAAAGAUUACACGAAAUGGAUAAAUAUGAGAGAAAGAAUGAGAGACAUAUGAUAAAACAAAGGGAUGUAUAGUUGCGGAUGUAAAUACAAAGAGUGGGAAAAUAUGUAAUGUUUCGAGAAUCUGAUAGCUGCAUAUGAUUUUUGUCAUAUGUAAUAUUCUCUAUGGUAUAACAAAAAGAUUCAUUCUCAUCCGUAGAUAUAUGUAUGGUUAGUCAAACAACGUUAAAACCUCAUGUACUUUUGUAUGAAUUAUUUUAUCUUUAUAUUUCUAAACUAAUAUUAUUUGCAUUAAAACCUCUAGGGGCAACAAUUUAGUAUUAAAACAAGUUUUUUAGUUGUAAUUUUUGUACAAAAAUUGUAUCAGCUCAAUUUUAGCUCAAACUGAAAGAAUCAAAAUAAACUAAGAAGAAUUAAUGUUGAGUCAUAUUGGAGUUUAGGUGAAUAAACAAAUUAGUUGAAUUUACUUAAAUUUGACCAGCUCAUUCGGUUCUUGGUGGAUUGAUUAAAAACCAACCAAAAUCGUAGAGUGUCAACUUUUAUUAAUCAUAGAGUUAUUAGAGACUACCAUGCUUUGUAUGCGUGGAAGGAAUCAAUAUUUUUUGCUUUGACUGGACAUCAAAUAAAACAUAAAACAUAAAAACUAACAUAGGGCCUAUUUGGUAACUAUUUUUGAAAAUAGUUUUGAAAAAUAGUUUUUGAAAAAAGUUUUGAAAAUUGUUUUAUGAUAUUUUGUAGAACAAAAAAUUGUUUAGAAAUUUAAAAUAUUUUUAACUUGUUUUAAAUUUUUUAAAAUAAUUUUUAUUUGUAGUGCUUUCAUCCUUAAUGUUUGUACAAUUAUUUUUUAAAACAAUUAUCAUAAAAUAAGUGAAAAUAACUAAAAUAUGUUAUCUGAAAAUACCAAAUUUUCUAUUUUAAAAGACACAACAUAGAGAACAGUUUUUGGUUACUAUAACAUGUUUUCUAGGUUUUUUGUUUUGAAGAAUAAAAAACUGUUACCAAACAAGGUCAUAAUAUCUUGUUUGAUUUAUCAAGAAAAGCUUAGACAAAAAUCAAAUCAAAUAAAAGUAAUUUAAAAAUUCAUAUAUUUUUAAAUUAUACAUUACCUAAAUAAAAAAAAAAAAGAGAAAAAAAUUGGAAAAAUAUAGAAUAAAGAUUUAUUGGGUUUAAACUGACAUAUCAGUUUCCCUCAUCUUUCUUAAAUUUUCUAAUAUCCAAAUGGAAUACAAAUGAAAUCCAUUGAUGAGAGAAUGACAUGACUCUAGGCAACUAAAAGAAUGCUACUUAGACUGUGUUUAAAACCUUUUAGAAUUACUUUUAUGGACAAUUUGUGGAUACUGAAAAGUUGUAAGUAUUUUUGGAAGGAAAUAACUUCAAAGCAGUUUUUUUAUUUUUAUUUUUUUACGAAAGUUAAACGUUAAAAAUCUAAAGAAUGAUUUAAAAUAACUUUUGAACUAAUGUUUGGCAAGUGAUUUUUCCUUUUUAUUUUAUUUUAUUUAUUUUGGGAUUCCAUUACAUAAUGGAAGUGCUUUGAAAACAUUUUUUAUUGCAAGUGUUAGGAGCUAAAUGUACUGUCACAAGAAUCACUCCCAAGUCCAAUAGACCUCAUUGAUCUAAUGUAUGAUUUUUCAGAAUGGAGAAAUGAUGAAUACCUUGGAUCAGAAUUCCAUUUCUGCGAAUUUGAAAGGCAACCCUAAUUAGUAGCCAACAAAGGCUGAGCCAAUCCAUUGAAACAAUCAGCAGUAGUCUCUUGCUCAUCAGCUUCUCUCUGCUCUCAGCCAUUGACGGAAUGGAAGCUUGUCCUUAACCUUACUGUCUUCAAUUUAGUUGGGUUGCUAUGCCUCCAAUGGGAAAGCUUCACGGAAAGGUCUUUUCACAUGGCUCUUCUUUUGACCAACCGCCUUUUCAAAACUGCAAAAAAUUUCGCCCAUCUUUACUUCAGUACAUGGUCCAUAUAUGACAAAGAAUAUACAAGGCUCCAUUAUUGGCUACAGAGUGGAGACCCCAAUCAUCGCGUCAAGUUGCUCUCGAGUAAAACAAUGACAGCCCAUUUGUCGCUGGAUUCCAUGUGUGGAGAGUUUGAACCCAUUCCACCCUCCAUGUGAUAGCCACCAACCCUACUAGAAAGUUAUCGUCAAGAGACAGUGAACUGGAGCUGGACGGUGGUGCAAUAGGAUAAAAGGCGGCUUUCUUCAAACUUCAGAUUCUUCAAGGUUAUAAUCUCAUCACCAUAAUCAUUAAUUACCACUUGGCGCUUAAUUUUGAUUUAUUGUUUGUUCUAGUCUUUCUGUAUUUCUCUUAAUUUUGUUUGGUGUCUGGGAUAAUUGUAUUUGUAGAAACAGCUGAGCGCUAAACCUUUGGAGUUGAGAUCAAAAUUCAACCUUAAACUACCCUUUUUGUGGAGGGAAGAAGGUGAGAUAUGGCUUUGGAGAUUGCGAGUUUCGUUAUCCAGGUUGGGGAGAGGCUGUGGUCUUCAGCGACUGGUCCAGUGAGUAAUCUGGUGAACUAUAGGAAAAAUAUAAAGAAUCUC
rnacentral:lncRNA from 1 species